CAUGUGCGCGUCUUUCACAGGUGUUCCCGUUUGCUGUGAUUUCCUCACUGACGUCAUCUUCACCUGAAGCUUGUUUGAUCCCCAAUCGGCAGUAGUAUAUAACUCUCUCGUUCCCUUCAUUGAAUGUACUAGGGGUGCUUCUGAUGCAUUUCGCCAUCCUGUCCUGUCCUGUCAUGUUGUGUUUCCAGUUUAUUCAAUUAUUAGUCUGUGUUAUCUGCUGUCUCGUCCUUGCAGAAUUCCAGCCGUCACGCUUCUUCAGUCUUCCCAGUUCUACAAACUGUCUGCUCAUGAACUAGUUCGUCUUCGCUGUGGAGAGAUUGGAUUACUUUGAGUUUCAGUCAAUUCAUCAUCUGCUACACACAGCUGAGUCGUCUCUCAUUCCCUGGAUAUUUACCAUCCGUCACCAGAGCUCUGUCACUGAUCAUCUCCAGCGAACUGUACAGUUUGUUGCGCUAUAGCGCUGAUAUUGAUUACCAUCACUAACUGUGUUUCUCCUCUAUAUCACAGCUCUGGACUGUUGCUGUUGACGAGCUGUCCCUUUUGGGUUGUGCCGUGGUCCGGUUCGCCGUAUAAUUCCACGGAGGAUUAAUUUCCCCCCUUCCUAGUAACUCCCGUGACGCGGCGCUCACGGGAGUGGCCUACGUGUCCUGCCCCGUAUCGGGGUUCCCCAGUCUCACCCUGAGCCGUCAUUGCCAGGGAUUACUCUUCGAGCUCUGUCUUCCCUUCCCCGGAUACCUUAAGUGACUUUGGUGACUGAGAGACUUGUUGUGUGUAUUCAAUAAAUAUCCCUCUGCUCUGGAAUCCUUUGUCUGUGUUUCUUACAGCGAGUGCCACUGGCCAAUCACAUAACAGCAGACGAGCUUUCCUGUUAACGCAAGCCGAGCGGCGGCCAAUCAAAUUAACCAAUAGGUGGGGUUACCGUCAGGACAGGAGUAACAGUUACGCCGCGUCAAUCAAUCAUAACGGACACAGAUUGCAAAGGCAGAAGGAUGAAAGAUAACUAUGUAUCAGGUCUGUGUUCAUCAAGACCUGAAGACUCUGGAGUGGGACAAAAGAAGGAUGAUGCGGUGUAUAUUCCAAUAGACACAUUAAGUCACAUUGUGAUUUCAGUGAAAGCUGAUAAAUACAGAGGGCUGGACAGUGGUUUUAUUCAUUAGGUAAAGAGGUGGGACAAUGACGCUGACAGGACAGGAGGAGGUGACAUUCAGUGUCUAAUGACCUGCGCAUUCUCGAGGACGUUCUGAAGUUGUGUUUGACUUGAUGCGAAGCUGCUAGACUGCGAAGGAGAUAACCAAGAAAACAAGAUAACCACUGUUUUUUUAAUUGUUCAGAAAUCUCGUUUUUUGGUUGUGCAUUCCAAUUAAUUUCAAUUCAACUGCAGUUGGUUUGUUUUGAUUUAAACCUUCAUAACUUAAAAAAGACAGCUAAGUAGCACCAUAAAACAAAAUAAUAACAUGAUAACAUAAUAAUAAACAUGUUUUGAGAAAAAAUUUAAAAAAUGGAUUUAUCUCGUUUUGCAACGAAACUCUUCAUAUAUUAAGUACAUGCUUAGAACAUAUCUCAUUUGCUCAUUGGCUUUGUAUCUAAAUGAAAAGUACCUCUUUAAGGUCUAAGCUAUGUUUCAUUUUAUUUAGACAUUCAACGCAGACAUUUUCAUCCAAAGCAAGAAAACAGAAACAGUUAAUCCUAAAAGUGGGCUGCUGUAAUGUUUACAUCUAUGGAAAGAGGAGCUGAGAAGAAAAGAGAGGCUGGAAAGCAGUACUUCUUGUUGAGGACAAUCCUGAAUAGGAACACUUUCUCAUACACCUAGAUUAUUAUUAGUGUUUGAUUUUUUUUUUCAUUUUUAUUAAUUGUACUGUUUUAAUUUUUCAUUUUAUUUGAAAUUACCUUAGAUUCAUGCUAAUACUUUAACUGAAACUUGUAUCGUUUCUGGCUGGCUGUAGAGUUGGUUUCAAAUACACAUGAAGUUUUUAAUUAACUAACUUUUAAGUCAGUUUGGUUUAAACUUGUAUUUACCCAUGGUAAUUCAUUUACAUUUCAAUUCAUGCUAGUAUAUUAAUUUCAAUGAAAACUUCUGUAUUUGUGUAUAGCUGGUAAUUUGGCAAACUACAUUUCACACAUCAAUGUAACUGUCACAAAGGUUUUUUAUUAUCAGUUUGUUCUAAACUUUUGUUUGUUUACUAAGGAUGAAAUUGCUUUGUAAUUUAAGUUGUUGGUGUUAGAUUCAUUCCAAUAAUGUAUUUGAACAAACUAGUAUUUUUGUUUUUUGCUGGCAGUUUAUACUAGAAGAGUUUUAACACAUACAAUGUUGUAGUGUUAUUGACUUGUUGUUAUUGAUUAAUAAA